rnacentral:rRNA from 1 species
CGGCUCAGGAUGAACGCUGGCGGCGUGCCUAAUACAUGCAAGUCGAGCGAACAGAUAAGGAGCUUGCUCCUUUGACGUUAGCGGCGGACGGGUGAGUAACACGUGGGUAACCUACCUAUAAGACUGGAAUAACUCCGGGAAACCGGGGCUAAUGCCGGAUAAUAUUUAGAACCGCAUGGUUCUAAAGUGAAAGAUGGUUUUGCUAUCACUUAUAGAUGGACCCGCGCCGUAUUAGCUAGUUGGUGGGGUAAUGGCUUACCAAGGCAACGAUACGUAGCCGACCUGAGAGGGUGAUCGGCCACACUGGAACUGAGACACGGUCCAGACUCCUACGGGAGGCAGCAGUAGGGAAUCUUCCGCAAUGGGCGAAAGCCUGACGGAGCAACGCCGCGUGAGUGAUGAAGGUCUUCGGAUCGAAAAGACUCUGUUAUUAGGGAAGAACAAA